CCUACGGGAGGCAGCAGUGAGGAAUAUUGGUCAAUGGGCGCGAGCCUGAACCAGCCAAGUCGCGUGAGGGAAGACGGCCCUACGGGUUGUAAACCUCUUUUGUCGGGGAGCAACGGGCGCCACGUGUGGCGCCAUUGAGAGUACCCGGAGAAAAAGCAUCGGCUAACCCCGUGCCAGCAGCCGCGGUAAUACGGGGGAUGCGAGCGUUAUCCGGAUUUUUUGGGUUUAAAGGGUGCGUAGGCGGGGCGUGAAGUCAGUGGUAAAAUUGGGGGGCUCAACCCCUUCCCGCCAUUGAAACUGGCGGUCUAGAGUGGAAGAGAAGUAUGCGGAAUGAGUGGUGUAGCGGUGAAAUGCAUAGAUAUCACGCAGAACCCCGAUUGCGAAGGCAGCAUGCCGGCUUCCUACUGACGCUGAAGCACGAAAGCGUGGGGAUCGAACAGGAUUAGAUACCCUUGUAGUC
rnacentral:rRNA from 1 species